GAGAAAAAUUGUACUGACCUGUUGCCAAGAUUUCUUGCAGAGAAGAUGCUAUGGCCAUGGCAGAACCAAACAGUAUAUAAAUGCCUUGGCUGUUCUGCACUGCUCCUUGAUGAUUAGCUGAAAGUUUGGCAUACUUUUAAAUGAGUGGACUUCACUAAACAUGACUACGGCAUGUCAAAUGCUUAACAGGAGCUUUCAACAUUGUCGACAAAGAUACAUAAACUAACGAUGGAUUUGGGCUGUUUAUGAGCCCAGCCAAGGUAUUGCCCGAGUUGAUGGUGGAGGAUGUAAUACCUUCGCUGAAAGCAAUACUUGGAGCACGAGGCGAUGUCUCUUAUGUCGGAUUAUCGUUCCAAGAUGACAGAUUGGAUGGUUCAUUCUUGAAAAAUGGAGUUCCCUACUUGGGCUUUCUUCCCCAAUGGCCUCUCGGAUACAAAAAUGAUGAAUGCAAGUAUGAACAAAUUAUCAACAAUCUGUCGAUCAGUGAUAAUCUUUGAUGUUUGAUGCUAAGACGCGACCCAUCAGGUUAAAUGAUGAAUAGGUCCAAAAGUGUGAGAUCCCACAUUGGUUGGAGAGGGUAACGGAACAUUCUUUAUAAGAGUGUGGAAAACUUUC